AACGAACGCUGGCGGCAUGCCUAACACAUGCAAGUCGAACGAGACCUUCGGGUCUAGUGGCGCACGGGUGCGUAACGCGUGGGAACCUGCCCUUAGGUUCGGAAUAACUCCCCGAAAGGGGUGCUAAUACCGGAUAAUGUCUUCGGACCAAAGAUUUAUCGCCUUUGGAUGGGCCCGCGUUGGAUUAGCUAGUUGGUAGGGUAAAAGCCUACCAAGGCGACGAUCCAUAGCUGGUCUGAGAGGAUGAUCAGCCACACUGGGACUGAGACACGGACCAGACUCCUACGGGAGGCAGCAGUGGGGAAUAUUGGACAAUGAGCGAACGCCUGAUCCAGCACUGCCGCGUGAGUGAUGAAGGCCUUAGGGUUGUAAAGCUCUUUUACCCGGGAUGAUAAUGACAGUCCCGGGAGAAUAAGCUCCGGCUAACUCCGUG
rnacentral:rRNA from 1 species